rnacentral:misc_RNA from 1 species
AACGCACAUUGCGCCCGCCAGUACUCUGGCGGGCACGCCUGUCCGAGCGUCAUUGCAAACCCCCACGGGCCCUGCCCGGCGUUGGGGCGGCCGCCCAGGCGGCCCCCCUAAGGCGAGUGGCGGGACCACCGGCACCCCGGGCGUAGUAGAUACGUCGCCUUGGGCGUGCCCGGAGGCCCCCGCCGUAAAAGGACGAGCUGACGCGAAGUUGACCUCGGGUCAGGCGGGGAUACCCGCUGAACUUAA